AGAAAAAGGUGAGGGUUUUCGAUAACAAUUUAGAAGAAAAUCUUAUUCAAAUCGGAAUUACGAGUAAUAAAGUCUUACCUAAACAAUUUGCAUUAGCAAAAAUAUUGCGAGAGAACCAAAUCGUGAAUGUCAGUAAGGUUAAAUACAUAAAUCCUAUUUAAAGAUUUAGGAUGGCGAUGUCAAAAAUCAUGGGAAGUAGGAAUAUCAUAUGGAAUUAUUAAAAAUAUAGACAAAGAACUGUCAGAAGAAGAAUUAAUUCAUAGUUUACUUUGUGAUAUUGAAGUUUUAGCCGUACAACGUUUGAAUCGUCGAGCAGACGAUGGUUGGGUACCUAGUGAAACCAUUAAACUAACGUUUAAAGGGCCGAAUAUACCGAAGUAUGUAUAUCUUCUAGAUCUGAGAAUUAAAGUAGAACAAUAUAUAUUUCCAGUCACUCAGUGUUCUCGUUGCUGGAGGUUUGGACAUACAGCAAAAAUGUGUCCAUCCAACAAAAUAAUUUGCCCUAAGUGUACAAGAAAUCAUCCAAAUUGUGAGAAUAAUAAUUUUAUAUGCAUUAAUUGUAAGGGUAAUCAUAUGCCCUUGGAUAAAAUUUGUCCUAUAUUUAAAAAAGAGAAAAGGAUUCGAGAAAUAAUGACAGAAUUCAACUGUUCAUAUUUGAAAGCUAUUAGUAUGUAUGUCCCCCAGUCCCCAAUUUUGCCAACCACCAACGUAGCUUGCAGUGAAUCAAAACCUACGACAAAGCAUGUUUACGCUCCAACAAGCACAGUACCAGUAAUUUAUCCUGAAAUUGAAUCUGUUGAUCAGGAAAUCCCUCAAACUUCUGGGACACAAAACACAAUGAACAAGAAGAAAAAGAAGAAAAAACGUAUUAAAUGUGCUGAAAAUGUAUAUGCAGACAUAGAAGUAGCCUCUGAUUCUGAUAAUAGUGUUAAAAGUGAUUACUGUAUUAAUAAUGAUAGUGAGGAGAAUGUAACGAAGGAAAAUAUAAAUUUGCACCGUGAAUUGAUUGAUAAACUUAAAAGUGUAAUAUUUGAAAAGAAUAUAAGUAUGUCGACUAAAUUUAAAAAUAUGAUUCAAAUAAUAAUUGAGUGGAUCACUUUGGCUAUUGUAAACAUCUUUUCAGACUUUCCGUUGAUUAAAACCUUUUUUAAUUAUAUACAAAGUAAUGGAUAGUAUUGUUAAAAAAUUAAUUAGCUUGAACAUUAUUCAGUGGAAUUGUAGAAGUCUAAAACCAAAAUUAAAGCUUUUUGAAGACCUGCUAA